CUUCAUAAUCAUAUUUAAAAUGUGGGGGACAUAUGAUUGUAACAUUGACACAAUUUGUCACUCACUUCCAAAAGGACUUUCCAGACACUCUGAAAUGCUUUAGUGGCUUCUCACCCUAGCUGUUAGGUCAUCACUGUAUCUCUCUGAACCAGGUUUAUCACCCCUGAAUUUUUUUUUUUUUUUUAAGCCAGGCAAAAGCUAUUACCCUUCAUGCAGCCAGGUUUAUUUUAUGAAUAAAUUUGUUUAUUCCUUGUCCACCCUUCAGUAGAUCUACUUAACAGAUCUAUCACGGGUCGAGGUCUGGGGUUCUUUAACAAUUGG